rnacentral:rRNA from 1 species
UACGGGGGGGGGCAAGCGUUGUUCGGAAUUACUGGGCGUAAAGGGCUCGUAGGCGGCCAACUAAGUCAGACGUGAAAUCCCUCGGCUUAACCGGGGAACUGCGUCUGAUACUGGAUGGCUUGAAUCCGGGAGAGGGAUGCAGAAUUCCAGGUGUAGCGGUGAAAUGCGUAGAUAUCUGGAGGAAUACCGGUGGCGAAGGCGGCAUCCUGGACCGGCAUUGACGCUGAGGAGCGAAAGCCAGGGGAGCAAACGGG